rnacentral:snRNA from 1 species
GUUUGAUCCCAAGCAACUGUGUUAAAAAAGAGUAUAGUAUAGCAUGGCCCCUGCACAAGGAUGACACGCAAAUUCGUGAAGCAUUCCAUAUUUUU